rnacentral:tRNA from 3 species
GGGGAUGUAGCUCAGGUGGGAGAGCGACUGCCUUGCACGCAGUAGGUCACCGGUUCGAGUCCGGUCAUCUCCA